rnacentral:lncRNA from 1 species
CUAAUUUCACUUAGCUAGAGGAGCAGUCGCCAGUAGCCACCAUACCCCAUAAGAAAAAUAGCCACAACCCCUCAUGAUUCGAGCAAGUGACAGUCGCUCACCACCGAAAGAACUAUUGGCCUCCUCUACAAAAAACGGGAAGAGACGCUUGAUUGAACAGGAGGUCCGUUCGAGGCUCAGUUGCCAGCAAGAGAUUCAGGCCAUUAGCUCGUUUUUGGUUUAUUGCAUUGGAGACUUUCUUUCAUUGUAUAUAUUGAAGAAUACGCAGCAAUAAAGGUCAAUCUCCUUUCACUAUCCAUUAUUCCUUUUUAUCUCAUAUAUAUGUGAUGCUUUAUUUGGCUUGAUUUAGUAAAUGCUUUGAUGAUACUAUUGAUUGAGUGAAUUUUAUCCUAGUAACCAUGUUGAGUUUAGUUUUAUAAAUUGAAUAGAUAGUUUGUUACUAUUUGAGCAAAUUUUGUCGAUUAAACAAAAUAAUGACAUAUUCUUCAUUUUAUGCAUUUGUCUUUACUUGGAACUCGGUGGAUGUGAUAUAAACUGUUUACAAAUUAGUUUGUGCUAAAAUUAAUCAUGAACCUGGACGUUGGUUUAUGUCAAAAGGGGAUUGGACUAAGGGUUAUAGGUGAAUUCUGACCGGUUGUAUGUUUUGAGACUGGGUUGGAAGUAAUUUUGAUGUUCUUUAUUCUUACUCUCGUUAAUUGGGCUAGUAGGAGCAUGUUUAGGAUCGCACUUGGGUAGUCAAACUUUAGGAUGCUUUAUUUAUUUUUCUAGGUAAGAGAUCGUUACAUUUAGUUCGUAUUCAGGGGAAUGCCCCGUAGAUUUUGUAUAUAUUUUAUCUGGGGUAUGUCCCAUAGUGAAUGUGAUGGGCCGUCGUGAUGGACAUCAUGGAAUAAGCGUAGUGUAGACUGUUAAUAUUUUCUUCUUAUUUUAUUUUCUUUUAUUUAGGUGGGGACGACCUCGAGCUUGUUGUGUGUUUAUUUUAUUUUUUUGUGUUUUAUACCUCAAUUUCAAUAUUUUUAAAAGCCAACUAGAUUGAGUAUGCAGCUGUACUAAUUACGGGACUCGGGGAUUUCUAACACCUUCUCCCCAAGUCAAAUGAACACCCUUACCUAGAACUCUGGUUCAGACUUAGGUUUGGAGUCCAAAGUGUUUUAAGAGAAAAAAUUAUUUUUUAAAAAGAUAACCUGAAACACCAAAAUCAAAUGUCAGGUGGUGACUUUGAAAAAUCCUUUUGAACACAAUUCUUUUUCACUUUCUAAUUCAAACCUCUUUUGAGCUUCACAAAAUCACUUUUUAUAUUUUUAAGAGGGUUAAGUGAGGUGAAAGAAGGGGUGUGACAGCUCAGGCGACUCUACUGGGGAAUUGCAGGUUCGAGCUAAUACUUGGUCUUAUAGGCUUUUAGAAUAUUUGAUUGGGUGUUUUUUUCUUUAUUUGAUUUGUUUGUCUUAUUUCUUUUUUUAUUAGUGAUUUGUUUAUUGCUUUUCAUAAUUUGUUUACCGUUUUAUAACUAUCAUUAUUUGCAUAACCAUGGGCCUUCUUUCUACAACAAGUCCUGGAGUACGUUUGCGCGUACACAGUCAAUUGUGAGUCACCUGUGUCUUUAGGGGUAGCGUGGGAGCGUGUAGAGGGCGGAUAGCUAGAGCAGCCGCCAUUGACCACAUGCCGCACAGAAUUACCUUAUCUAGUGAACCUCCAAACUUAUAUAAGCCUUUAGGUCAUGCUUAUUUGAAUCAUGUCAUUUACACUUAGCAGAGCUCGGUCCAAGGCACCAUGUUCCUUUGUAGGAGGCCUAUCCAAAUUAUGUCAAAGUGGGUCUGUGGCCCAAAAAGAUAUUUAAUCAUCCACAUGUACUACAUGCUACAUUCUUUAAGGGUAAAGAGGUUAUUUUGUGGACCAAUGAUGGUUGAGGCUAAAUGAGAAAGAAAAGAGGUUGAAGUAUAAAGAUAAAGCAAGUAGGGCCCAAUUACAUUUUUCUUUCACAACUUUUUCAAGAAAAGACCAAAAAAAUUAAAAAUCCAAAAAUAUGUUGUACUUUCCCAUAAUUUUCCAAAAAUUAAAAUAAAAAAAUAAAAAAAACCAAAAAGAUUUUAUAUAUUUCAUCAUUUGUCAAAAAAAGAGAAAAAAUAUGUUUCUUCAAACUAGUGUGUUCUUUUUUAAAUUUUCUCCUGUAUACAAUCUUUCCGAACUACGCAUACCCGAUUCUCGUCUCUCGGGGCAGGAUACAUAGGCAUCCGAUAUAAGUUCUGGUCUUCCUAGUGAGUCUUAGGUUCUUGGCUUCACUGGUCGUAGCCAAAUCUUACAUGUCUAGCUACGUUUGGUCACAUUAGUCAUUUUGUAAAAUACGGAUAUUUUCUCGAAGUGUGUUAUCCCAUGUCUUAGAGCCCUGUUUCUGCAACAAGGUGUCCUCUAAGUUCUAAGGUCCAUUUCUAUUGAAUUUGUAUGUCUAUCCACUUUUGGCCACAUCGCCAUUCUUGCAACAUGAGGUCAUUUUCUCAAAAGUGGUUCAAUGACCAAUGUCGUAGGAUCUUGAAUCCAUAACUAGGUGUUAUGUUACUUUAACCGUCCUUGUUGAAUUUGUAUCCCUAACCGUGUUUGGCCAUAUCGGGCGUUUUUGCACGAUUGGGUCAUUUUUGCGAAGUAAUUGUUAGGGCCAUAAUUAUUGGGAGUUUGAAGUCAUAUAAGCCUUACCUUUGUUGAGUUUUCACUAAUAUUCAUCCUUAGCCACGUAGAGCAUUUUACAAAACUAGCCCAAUCAUAUCUUGCAUGUGUCCAUAGGAGGUGUUGUGGUGUCGCAUAUAGUCUCUAGUCACUAACUCUAUUUGGUUUUAUUUUUCUCAGUCAGGUAUGGAUCAAUGUACUAGAGCGAGAAUGACAGAUACCUAGGACCAUUGUAUU